rnacentral:lncRNA from 1 species
AUUCAUUCAUUCAUUUAUUCAUUUAUUGCAUAACACUCUUCUAGAUUCAUACCAUAUAUUACAGGCUUAAAUUUUAAAAAUAUCAUAUAGCUUGUUUUGCCUAUUGUUUUUUCUAGACUGUAUUUCUUGUGAGCAGAAAAUGAACCAGCACCAAUAAUGGAACUUGGGUGACUAAAUGCUCUGGAACAUGUAGUUGAAUACAUGACUACAAGCAACCCAGGAGCUUUUCCUUCACUUUGAGAAGUACUGGACUGAGAAACUGAUGGACUGGGCUGAGUGACAACUGGGUCUGAUACCUCUGUUUUGGAGGUAUUUAUUUCGUCCUCUCGAAAUGCUCAUUUCUGUCAUUUGCUGUGCGACUUCAAAACACUACCUCAGAACACUCAGAAGACUAAAUAUAAGAAUGAAACUUCACAGGUAACUAACUUUAUUAUUCUGCUGGUUGUCUCAUUAAAGAUUUAAAUUUUGGGGGUGUCUGGAUGGCUCAGUCGGUUGGGUGCCUG